GACGAACGCUGGCGGCGUGCUUAACACAUGCAAGUCGAACGAGACCCCCGCUUCGGUGGGGUGUUCUAGUGGCGAACGGGUGAGUAACACGUGGGCAACCUGCCCCCGGCUCUGGGAUAACUCCAAGAAAUUGGGGCUAAUACCGGAUAUGACCGCUGACCGCAUGGUCUGGUGGUGGAAAGUUUUUCGGCUGGGGAUGGGCCCGCGGCCUAUCAGCUUGUUGGUGGGGUAGUGGCCUACCAAGGCGACGACGGGUAGCCGGCCUGAGAGGGUGACCGGCCACACUGGGACUGAGACACGGCCCAGACCCCUACGGGAGGCAGCAGUGGGGAAUAUUGCUCAAUGGGCGGAAGCCUGACGCAGCGACGCCGCGUGGGGGAUGACGGCCUUCGGGUUGUAAACCUCUUUCAGCAGGGACGAAGCGAAAGUGACGGUACCUGCAGAAGAAGCACCGGCCAACUACGUGCCAGCAGCCGCUGUAACAC
rnacentral:rRNA from 1 species